ensembl:lncRNA
CAUUUUUGCUUUGUGCAUACCCUGCUAACACACGACGUAACAGUUACGUAACGUAUUGGUAAUUUUUGGUAAUUCCGUGACUUACCAAUUGACAACGUAACUACGACGUCGCAUGCCCGUAAUUUUAUUACCAUCACAUUACCAACUCGCAACGUCGUCAGUACGUCCUUCCAACGUGACCAGAUAACCAAGAACGUCCCAGAUAGGUUCUCUAUUCGUAAUAUAUUGGUAACUUCAUGACUUACUGGCAACGUAACUACGACGUCGUUUGCACGUAAUUUCAUUACCAUAACUUUUGUUCUUUAUAUGCUUUCUGAGUAUAGUGAUAUUUAAAAAGUGUAAUUAAACUUCAGACACAAGAUUAAACGUUCCUUAAAGAUAAAAUGUGUUUCUUUUCACCAAGUCAGAAUAUGGACAUGCUUUUAAUAUAUAAUGACGUGACAUACAGCGCGCGCGCUUCCACAGCUGACACACCGCGCGCACAGUAUACUGACAAGAAAGGAAAUACAUUUUUUCUGAGUUGUGAAACUUUCUAUUUCGUAAGGAGUUAUGAACGUGAAAUAAUGACACAGACUGGCUAUACCAUCUCAUCUGCCGCAGAUACUGUAUCAGGAGGACAGCGCGUUUGUUUGAGGCACUUUUCACUUCAACUGUGUCUGACCGGAGAAUUAGCUUUUCUGAGCCUAUUAGCCGUUGAGAGUUACCAUGGCAACCGCGGACACAUCAGCUGCUGGAGAGGAGAGGACGCGUCUGACACUUUCUCUGUUUCUCGUCAGUUAUACCAAAGAAAAGUUCAACAACUGCGACAGAUUGCUUAAGUAACACAUAUUAAUAUCAUCCACAGUCUACUUUAAGUACUUUUGUUAAUAUUUAUACCUCUGUGAUUAUGGUAUAUUUCCUUAAUUAUCUGAAAUGUCUGCUAGCAAAUAUUACGCUAGCGUAGAAACAUAAUUAUAGCAUAACGUACUAGAUUUGAGCUCUUAUUAAUGAAAGUUUGGGCUUUUAAUCACAUCUUAUGUGUAAAGGGGCGGUUUUGAUAGCUUUGUAAAUGUUUUUGCUGAUAAUUUGUCAAUAGAUAUAUGGAAGUAAGCUAAUUAAUUUAACCUAAAAGUCUGCACUGUAGAGUCUGUCAGUGACGUCACUUGCACGCAGUCUAAAAUGGGCUGAAACUAUUUCAAACCACUGUUUCAAACACGUUUUGAUUUUUCAUUGUAAACAAAUUCAGGUAUCUUAACAUUUUUUUGUAUUUUUUCCAUAUUACUAUUGUUCUUUUCUGCAUUUCUCUAGUUUGUUUAUUUCUAAUAAGGAGCUGGAGGCCGUGGAGAAGCAGAUCCGUGACCUCGUGGAGAAGCAGGCUCAGCUGAGAGAGCGGAGAGCCGUGAUGGAAACAUUCAGGGGUUGAUGCUCAUAAGUCCAGUGUAAGUAUACAGCACGCUGCUAACUCUCCCACCACCUCUACUCUGUGUGGUUCUCUGCACAGGCCCGGUGUACCCAGGACGCAAUCUUCCCAGAUGUCCUUCACCCUGUGCCACAGCGGAAGACAUGAGCCAGGUCCUGGGGGACAACCUCUCUCCCCCCGUCGCCUCCGGUCUUCGGGAACUCCACUGGAAUCCGAUUUCCUCCACUUCACGAGACAGAACACGACUCUGUGUUCGUCGGAGACUCCAUCAUCCGGCAUAUUCGUGCUAUGUUAGCUGGAGGUAAUGUGCACACUCACUGUUUCCCUGGUGCUCGUGUUCUUGAUAUUUCUGCGCAGAUACCCGUGAUCCUGAAGGGUGAAGAGAGCAUCGGAGCGGUCGUGCUUCACGCCGGGGUUAACAACACCAAAGCUGCGGCAGACGCAGACACUAAAGAGGGACUUCAGGAGCCUGAUCGAGAUGGUGUGCAGCAUAUCGCCUGCACGAUGAUCAUCAUCUCAGCACCUUUUCUCAUGUAUAGAUGAGGACACGAAAGGUUCAGUAGAGUUUUUGCUCUAAAUGAAUGGUUAUUGUCAUGGUGUAAAGAACAGAAACUGCUCUUUGUUAAUAAUUGGAAUCUUUUCUGGAAGCGUCCUAGGCUUUUUCGCGCUGAUGGCCUGAACACCAGCAGAGUCGGAGCGGAGCUGCUCUCGGACAACAUCUCCAGGACUCUACGCUCCAUUUGACUAGGCAGUUUGUGAAGACAGAUAAUCAAGAGAUGUGACAAACUGUACAGAAGUCAGUUCCAGAUCCACCCUCCACACCAGACCUCUCUCAUAUGGACUGCUGUCUACUAGCAUACUUCGGUGGAUGCAGAUAUUACUCAGGGACAUGAACACUUGAAUAUUGCAAGCAUAGAGAAAGUAAGAAUUACUGAAGAUUUAAGAAUUUAAUAUUAAUUGCUUAAACAUUAUAUAUACUGUUUUAGCAAUUAACAUUAAUAGUUUUUUUUUUGUUUGUUUUUUUGGUGUCCAAAGCACCUAAAAGCCAAUUCACACCGCCAUACUCCAGCAGUUCAAACAAAAUAAGCAUGUUUUUUAAAUAGUUUUUUUGGCAGUGUGAACUGGCCAUAAUGCUGUAUGUUAGGUGUGAGAUUCAUUAAACCUGAUUUGCUAUAAUACAUCUGUUCAUAAGAUAUUGCAUAUGAUUUUCAGUUAAUUAUUUGUAGUGGUUUGGUUAAGGGUGCGAUUAGCUGAUGUAUUAUUGUGGGAGCAUGUGAUUAGUUGAUGUGUGCAUGGUUAAUGAUGGCUCUCUUAAAUAUUUAAAUGCAAUGGGCUGAGUGCCUACUAAGACUUGAAUAUUUGUGCAUAAUGUUUUGAUCCUGGAUGCUUACAGAAGGAUAUAGAUAUUUAAAUAUAUGGACAUUUAUUUAUUAUUAAUAUAUUUUAAUCUAUGUGCUUCUGUAUGGGCUGAAUGCUUUCAUUCAUAUUUUGCUGUAUAUCCUAUGUUUUUAUUAAUAAUUUGGGUGUAUUACUGGUCAUAUUUGUUUGUUAAUAAAUGAACUGAAUUCAUUUCGAGUCUGUAUUCAUCAUUCACAGCUGCUGAAACAGCCUUUAAAUUAGUUUGGGCAUAUGAGGACAUAAAUUAGAUUAAACUACUGCAUGUCCGCCCAUAAAAAAUAAAUAAUUAUCAAAAAUUACCAACUGAUUACCAGCACACAACUACCGAUUCGCGACGUUGCCACGACGUCGCAGUUACUUACUGGCAACGUCACAAAGUUACGUUGUGGCGAC